rnacentral:rRNA from 1 species
UACGUAGGGUGCAAGCGUUGUCCGGAAUUAUUGGGCGUAAAGAGCUCGUAGGCGGUCUGUUGCGUCGGCUGUGGAAAACCCGGGGCUCAACUCCGGGCCUGCAUUCGAUACGGGCUGGCUAGAGGUAGGUAGGGGAGAACGGAAUUCCUGGUGUAGCGGUGAAAUGCGUAGAUAUCGGGAGGAACAUCAGUGGCGAAGGCGGCUGCCUGGCCCAAUACUGACACUCAGGUGCGACAGCGUGGGGAGCAAACAGG